GUGCCCGUAGCUCAAUUGGCAGAGCAGUGGGACAGUUUCCCACGGACCCGGGUUCAAGUCCCGGCGGUCGCU